AUUGAACGCUGGCGGCAGGCCUAACACAUGCAAGUCGGACGGUAGCACAGAGAGCUUGCUCUCGGGUGACGAGUGGCGGACGGGUGAGUAAUGUCUGGGAAACUGCCCGAUGGAGGGGGAUAACUACUGGAAACGGUAGCUAAGACCGCAUAACGUCUUCGGACCAAAGUGGGGGACCUUCGGGCCUCACACCAUCGGAUGUGCCCAGAUGGGAUUAGCUAGUAGGUGGGGUAAUGGCUCACCUAGGCGACGAUCCCUAGCUGGUCUGGGAGGAUGACCAGCCACACUGGAACUGAGGCACGGUCCAGACUCCUACGGGAGGCAGCAGUGGGGAAUAUUGCGCAAUGGGCGCAAGCCUGAUGCAGCCAUGCCGCGUGUAUGAAGAAGGCCUUCGGGUUGUAAAGUACUUUCAGCGGGGAGGAAGGCGAUAAGGUUAAUAACCUUGUCGAUUGACGUUACCCGCAGAAGAAGCACCGGCUAACUCCGUGCCAGCCGCCGCGGUAAAAC
rnacentral:rRNA from 1 species